UUAAUUGAGAGUUUGAUCCUGGCUCAGGAUGAACGCUGGCGGCGUGGAUAAGGCAUGCAAGUCGAACGGAACAUGUUAAUUUAAUAUGUUUAGUGGCAGACGGGGUAGUAACACGUAGGAACUCACCCCAGAGA
rnacentral:rRNA from 1 species